rnacentral:sRNA from 2 species
AACACAGUAGGCGAGCAGAAAAGAGGCCUCGAAAUAUCGAGGGAAUAAAAUAGGGGGGAAAGGCAAAUUCUGUAUUGCAUUAUUUGCGUGAGCUACAAAACCACCUAGUAGAAGUUGGUGUAUUGGUGAAGUUGGUGAAGUUGGUGAAGUAGUUGACAACAAAGACAUUUUGAGAAAAUAAGUCACAAGUUGGAGAGGGAAUAUACAUUGCGUGAGAACAACGCCGGCCAGAUCGAGUGGGUGAUAUCGAAAAAAAAAAAAAAAUAGAAAGAAAAGAAGAGAAAGGGGAGUGAGAGAAUCAACUAAACAGUGAAUCACAUCAGAUGAGUGCAUGGAACAAGAAACUGAGCAUGUUUACGGACAAUUUAACAUUUGAUAUGCAGCUAUUGACAGGUGGGGAAAAAAGAAUCGAACAUGUCACUCAAAAGCAUAAGGGGGAGAGUUAAAUUAAAAAGAAAUGAAAUAUCUAAAUGAAGCAGCAGC